rnacentral:rRNA from 1 species
UGGGGAAUUUUGCACAAUGGAGGAAACUCUGAUGCAGCGACGCCGCGUGAGUGAUGAAGAUCUUCGGAUUGUAAAACUCUGUCCUUAGUGAAGAUAAUGACAGUAACUAAGAAGCAAGCCCUGGCUCAAUACGUGCCAGCAGCCGCGGUAAUACGUAUGGGGCAAGCGUUGUCCGGAAUUAUUGGGCGUAAAGGGUACGUAGGCGGUUUAAUAAGUCCUAAUUAAAAGGCUAUGGCUCAACCAUAGUAUGGUUAGGAAACUGUUGAACUUGAGUAGAUGAGGGGAAAGUGGAAUUCCAUGUGUAGCGGUGAAAUGCGUAGAUAUAUGGAGGAACACCAAUGGCGAAGGCAACUUUCUGGAAUCAAACUGACGCUGAGGUACGAAGGCGUGGGGAGCAAACAGG